CACUGCCGAGAAAAGCCUCUAGAUAGAAAAUAGGUGCCCGUACCGCAAACCGACACAGGUAGUCAAGAUGAGAAUUCUAAGGUGAGCGAGCGAACUCUCGUUAAGGAACUCGGCAAAAUGACCCCGUAACUUCGGGAGAAGGGGUGCUCUUUAGGGUUAACGCCCAGAAGAGCCGCAGUGAAUAGGCCCAAGCGACUGUUUAUCAAAAACACAGGUCUCUGCUAAACCGUAAGGUGAUGUAUAGGGGCUGACGCCUGCCCGGUGCUGGAAGGUUAAGAGGAGUGGUUAGCUUCUGCGAAGCUACGAAUCGAAGCCCCAGUAAACGGCGGCCGUAACUAUAACGGUCCUAAGGUAGCGAAAUUCCUUGUCGGGUAAGUUCCGACCCGCACGAAAGGCGUAACGAUUUGGGCACUGUCUCAACGAGAGACUCGGUGAAAUCAUAGUACCUGUGAAGAUGCAGGUUACCCGCGACAGGACGGAAAGACCCCGUGGAGCUUUACUGUAGCCUGAUAUUGAAAUUCGGCACAGCUUGUACAGGAUAGGUAGGAGCCUUUGAAACGUGAGCGCUAGCUUACGUGG
rnacentral:rRNA from 1 species